AACGUGGGAGGCGAGCGUUAUCCGGAUUUACUGGGCGUAAAGCGCGUGCAGGCGGUUUGGUAAGUCGGACGUGAAAGCUCCUGGCUCAACUAGGAGAGGCCGUUCGAUACUGCCAGACUAGAGGGCAGCAGAGGGAGGUGGAAUUCCGGGUGUAGCGGUGAAAUGCGUAGAUAUCCGGAGGAACACCAGUGGCGAAGGCGGCCUCCUGGACUGUCCCUGACGCUAAGACGCGAAAGCUAGGGUAGCAAACGGGAUUAGAUACCCCCGUA
rnacentral:rRNA from 1 species